CGUUUCUUAAAGUCAGCUUUUAUUCAAUUUGGUUUUCUGACUUGAUUUGUCGGUUWACUGUGCUAUGCUUUGUCAAUCUUUUCGAACUAGACCUCAAUUUGAGCAAGAUUACCCGCUGAACUUAAGCAUAUCAGUAA
rnacentral:rRNA from 1 species